GAUUUCUGGCACGAUGUACCUGUCCCGCUGCGGUCAACGCAUGUGAGUGACGGAGUAUGUUUGCCAUCCUUCUAGAGAGCGCAAGCUAUCCUUUACUGGACCGGUUUGUGCCAUCUAGAUCUUUUACUUUGAAAAAAUUAGAGUGUUUCAAGCAGGCGUUUUGCUAUGAAUACAUUAGCAUGGAAUAAUGAGUUAGGACUUCGGUUCUAUUUUGUUGGUUUCUAGGACUGAAGUAAUGAUUGAUAGGGAUAGUUGGGGGUGCUAGUAUUCAGCGGCCAGAGGUGAAAUUCUUGGAUUCGCUGAAGACUAACUUAUGCGAAAGCAUU
rnacentral:rRNA from 2 species